rnacentral:rRNA from 1 species
CCUACGGGGGGCUGCAGUGGGGAAUUUUGGACAAUGGGGGCAACCCUGAUCCAGCCAUGCCGCGUGAGUGAAGAAGGCCUUCGGGUUGUAAAGCUCUUUCAGGUGGAAAGAAAUCGCAUCUUUUAAUACAGGGUGUGGUUGACGGUACCAUCAGAAGAAGCACCGGCUAACUACGUGCCAGCAGCCGCGGUAAUACGUAGGGUGCGAGCGUUGAUCGGAAUUACUGGGCGUAAUGCGGGCGCAGGGAGGUGAAAUCCCCGGGCUCAACCUGGGAACUGCGUUUGUGACUGCAGAACUAGAGUACGGCAGAGGGAGGUGGAAUUCCGCGUGUAGCAGUGAAAUGCGUAGAGAUGCGGAGGAACACCGAUGGCGAAGGCAGCCUCCUGGGCCAGUACUGACGCUCAUGCACGAAAGCGUGGGGAGCAAACAGGAUUAGAUACCCGUGUAGUC